AGCGAACGCUGGCGGCAGGCCUAACACAUGCAAGUCGAACGAAGUCUUCGGACUUAGUGGCGGACGGGUGAGUAACACGUGGGAACGUACCUUUUGGUUCGGAACAACUCAGGGAAACUUGAGCUAAUACCGGAUGAGCCCUUAGGGGGAAAGAUUUAUCGCCGAAAGAGCGGCCCGCGUUAGAUUAGCUAGUUGGUGAGGUAAAGGCUCACCAAGGCUACGAUCUAUAGCUGGUCUGAGAGGAUGAUCAGCCACACUGGGACUGAGACACGGCCCAGACUCCUACGGGAGGCAGCAGCGGGGAAUCUUGCGCAAUGGGCGAAAGCCUGACGCAGCCAUGCCGCGUGAACGAUGAAGGUCUUAGGAUUGUAAAAUUCUUUUACCAGGGACGAUAAUGACGGUACCUGGAGAAAAAGCCCCGGCUAACUUCGUGCCAGCCGCCGCGGUAAUAC
rnacentral:rRNA from 1 species